UACGGAGGGUGCGAGCGUUGUCCGGAAUCACUGGGCGUAAAGGGCGCGUAGGCGGCUUGAGAAGUCAACGGUGAAAGCUUGGGGCUCAACCCCGAGUCGGCCGUCGAUACUCUUAAGCUCGAGCACUGUAGAGGCAGGUGGAAUUCCGGGUGUAGCGGUGGAAUGCGUAGAGAUCCGGAAGAACACCGGUGGCGAAGGCGGCCUGCUGGGCAGUAGCUGACGCUGAGGCGCGACAGCGUGGGGGAGCAAACAGGG
rnacentral:rRNA from 1 species